rnacentral:misc_RNA from 1 species
GAUGAAGAACGUAGCGAAAUGCGAUAAGUAGUGUGAAUUGCAGAUUUCAGUGAAUCAUCGAAUCUUUGAACGCACAUUGCGCCCGCCAGUAUUCUGGCGGGCAUGCCUGUUCGAGCGUCAUUUCAACCAUCAAGCGCCUCGCUUGUGUUGGGGCCCUGCGGCUGCCGCAGGCCCCUAAAUCCAGUGGCGGGCUCGUCGUCGUACCGAGUGCAGUAAACAUCCUCGCUCAGGGAACCCGACGGGUGCCGGCCGUGAAACCCCCCCUCCUCAAGGUUGACCUCGGAUCAGGUAGGAAUACCCGCUGAACUUAAGCAUAUCAAUAAGCGGAGGA